rnacentral:rRNA from 1 species
AUUGAACGCUGGCGGCAUGCCUAACACAUGCAAGUCGAGCGGAUGAAGGGAGCUUGCUCCUGGAUUCAGCGGCGGACGGGUGAGUAAUGCCUAGGAAUCUGCCUGGUAGUGGGGGAUAACGUCCGGAAACGGGCGCUAAUACCGCAUACGUCCUGAGGGAGAGAGUGGGGGAUCUUCGGACCUCACGCUAUCUGAUGAGCCUAGGUCGGAUUAGCUAGUUGGUGGGGUAAAGGCCUACCAAGGCGACGAUCCGUAACUGGUCUGAGAGGAUGAUCAGUCACACUGGAACUGAGACACGGUCCAGACUCCUACGGGAGGCAGCAGUGGGGAAUAUUGGACAAUGGGCGAAAGCCUGAUCCAGCAAUGCCGCGUGUGUGAAGAAGGUCUUCGGAUUGUAAAGCACUUUUAGUUGGGAAGAAGUGCAGUAAGUUAAUACCGUGCUGUUUUGACGUUACCGACAGAAUAAGCACCGGCUAACUACGUG